GUGAUCCAUUUCUCAAGUCAAAUUCUUUUUUUUGUUUGUUUGUUUGUUUCUCUUUUCCACCACUCCCACACACAUGUACUAAAAAUAGUAACAAACAAAAAUGAAAUAAAAUAAUGAAUUUCAGUAUCUUUUUCAGCGCAAUUCCAUGAAACAAUCUAUCUAUAUUUAUUCUAUGACGAAAACUAUUCUGGAUCAUCAACAUCCACCCCCAUACACACACACACAAACGGAACGCAAAGAAUGGGCCUAGCUGAUCUAACGAUGAUGAUGAUGAUGAUGGUGUGACCAAUCAACCCGGAAUUUAUAUAUAGAUUACUUUUGGUUUGAUGACGACGUUAUCACCUCGCUCGUUUGUCGUAAGAACUGGAUUUGGUGUAAAUAUUUUUUUUCAUCGUCGUCGUCGUCGUCGUUGAUGUUGGUUGGUUGGUGGUGGUAUAUAAAUAGACAUCAACCGAUAAAUAUUUUUGGCCAUUUCGAAUUCUGGAUCCAAUGUGUGUGUGUGUAUGUUUGGUUUUAACAACGCGAAACUUGAAAGAAAAACCAGAAAUGUCUUGAAAAUAUCAAACAUCAUUGGUCCAAAAUGUCAUUGCCCUUUUAUGGAACAACAACAACAA